AAAUGUGCCGCACGCUCAGACUCGCCUCUGAAAAAAUUUGUAACUCAGUAACUCAGUUUAUGUGCUGACAAUGUAUAGCUCAAGCAUCACUAGUCUAA